UACAUGGGGUGCAAACGUUGCUCGGAAUUAUUGGGCGUAAAGCGCACGUAGGCGGUUUGUUAAGUCGGAUGUGAAAUCCCUCGGCUCAACUGAGGAAGUGCAUCCGAAACUGGCAGGCUUGAGUACUAAAGAGGGUCGCGGAAUUCCCGGUGUAGAGGUGAAAUUCGUAGAUAUCGGGAGGAACACCGGUGGCGAAGGCGGCGACCUGGGUAGAUACCGACGCUGAGGUGCGAAAGCGUGGGGAGCAAACAGG
rnacentral:rRNA from 1 species